rnacentral:rRNA from 1 species
UACGGGGGGGGCAAGCGUUUGUUCGGAAUUACUGGGCGUAAAGGGCGCGUAGGCGGCCUGCUAAGUCGGAUGUGAAAUCCCUCGGCUCAACCGAGGAACUGCAUCCGAUACUGGCGGGCUUGAAUCCGGGAGAGGGAUGUGGAAUUCCAGGUGUAGCGGUGAAAUGCGUAGAUAUCGUAAGGAAGACCAGUGGCGAAGGCGGGUCUCUGGACAGUUCCUGACGCUGAGGCACGAAGGUCAGGGGAGCAAACGGGG